CCGAGCUUCCAUACUAGGCACUUCCGGAAAUUUUUAAAACCCAGGUGCACAACUACAACAUGUCGUCUAACAUCACUGAAAAUUUCAGCACUCUAGCUUUUAUCGUUUUUGAGUUUUUGUCUGGACAAAAUGGUCAUCUGAAAAUCGAUAAAAGGGGGAUAACUUCCAACCGGAAGUGAUUUUUCAAAAAUUGAAACGGCGGUACAAACUUCAAAUGGCAACGCAUCAAUCCUGAAAAUUUGAAGCAAAUUGAUCCAUCCAUCUCCGAGAAAUCUUCUGCACAAAAAUCGGUAAGGAGAAAAAAAAGAAUAAUAAUAAUAACUAGUGAUCCUAAUUGUUCGCGAACAAUUAGAGGGCUUCCCACCUUCUAGCGGUUUUUCAGUAGUGUUGAAAUGCUAAAAGCACCCCCACCCUACCCCACCCCACCCUCACCAAAAAAAAAAAAUAAAAAAAAAUGGAUUUGGCUAGAAAAGAAAUUCAAAUUUGCCGCCUUGAGUGUUGUAGUGUUGGAGAUUAAGGCCUUGGUUUCGCACGAUAGUACCGGUCAAAUAUUUGAAAAAAAAGGGUGCGAGUGUUGCAUAGCCGGCACAUAUCAGGUAAAAGUGUAAUGGGACUUGUGCAGGUGUUUGGGGUGACUUUAGACCUGUUAGAUGUGAUAUUUGGAGGUGCAAAGAAACCGGAUGUGCCAUUUUCCUAGAUUGUAGUAACUGCUGGUGCAUGCUGGGAGUCUAUACAAGCCUCAUGUUGUCAGAUGUUGUGAAGAUGCACUGGAUUUGACCGUGUGUGUUGUGGAUUGUGGAAUUGAAUAUACAGUUUGUAAUGGCUCAUCCUAUGUGUUCUAAUUCACGGAGACAAUGUCUUUCAGUCAUUUCAGCCAAGGAGGCAUGCAUAUACGGAUUGAUAGGCUUUGACAACAAACAACCAAAAUGGCGGCCGGUGAAUUAGAAAGUGUCUGAGUGCAUGUAGGAUAUCUGAACGGAGAAUAGGAGUACUGCAUCCCAUCUGAUCCUGCAGUCAUUUCAGCCAAGGAGGCAUGCAUAUACGGAUUGAUAGGCUUUGACAACAAACAACCAAAAUGGCGGCCGGUGAAUUAGAAAGUGUCUGAGUGCAUGUAGGAUAUCUGAACGGAGAAUAGGAGUACUGCAUCCCAUCUGAUCCUGCAGGUAAGUGUUUAUUUGUUUACAAUGACAGUCGGGAUGGAAUGUCAAUGAGUUCAACUGUCGAGUAAAGUUGCAUCAUCAUUAUAAAAAAAAAAAA